GAACACAUACAACUAACUUAACUCCCCAUUCAAAGAAAGCCAGACCUACAAAACAUCAGAACAAUAUUAGAAAUCCUAUACAAAGAAAACCCAUUGCAAAGUGUCUAAUCACUGAUCUUUACUUUAAUUGUUUCAUGCUUGUAGUAAUAUUAUGACAUUUUAUUUAAAAGUGUUUUACUCUCAGAUCCCAGUCAUAACAGGAAGUAGAAGAAAAGCAUGAAGCAACAGGAGAACAUCAGAGCUUCACACAAGACACAUCUCCUGCUGACUCUAACAUACAUCCAGAAAACACUGCAAUAUAUCAACUGAUUCCGCUUUAUAGUGUGACUAUCAGAGGGCGAUUCAUUCAAAGAUUAAAAAGGAUCUUCACGUGUUGUUGUGAUUGUCAUCAAGCGUCAUGUUGUCAAGCAGCAGAAGCGUCAGACUGAAGGAGAAACACGCUUCUGCCGCCUUGAGGAGCGGA